rnacentral:rRNA from 1 species
UACGUAGGGGGCAAGCGUUGUCCGGAUUUAUUGGGCGUAAAGGGCGCGUAGGCGGCUUGAUAAGGUUGCGGUGAAAGCCCGGGGCUCAACCCCGGGUCGGCCGUGGCAACUGUCGAGCUGGAGCACUGUAGAGGCAGGUGGAAUUCCGGGGUGUAGCGGUGGAAUGCGUAGAGAUCCGGAAGAACACCGGUGGCGAAGGCGGCCUGCUGGGCAGUGGCUGACGCUGAGGCGCGACAGCGUGGGGAGCAAACAGG